UACGAAGGGGACUAGCGUUGUUCGGAAUCACUGGGCGUAAAGCGCACGUAGGCGGAUUUGUAAGUCAGGGGUGAAAUCCCGGGGCUCAACCUCGGAACUGCCUUUGAUACUGCGAGUCUUGAGUCCGAUAGAGGUGGGUGGAAUUCCUAGUGUAGAGGUGAAAUUCGUAGAUAUUAGGAAGAACACCAGUGGCGAAGGCGGCUCACUGGCCCGAUACUGACGCUGAGGCACGAAAGCGUGGGGAGUAAACAGG
rnacentral:rRNA from 1 species